rnacentral:rRNA from 1 species
GAAGAGGAAAGAGCUCAAAGUUGGAACCUGUUUGGCUUAGCUAAACCGGAUUGUAAACUGUAGAAGUGUUUUCCAGACACGCCUGGUAAAAAAGUCCUUUGGAACAGGGCAUCAUAGAGGGUGAGAAUCCCGUCAUUGGCCAGAGCUGUUGUCUUUUGUGAUACAUUUUCAAAGAGUCAGGUUGUUUGGGAAUGCAGCCUAAAUUGGGUGGUAAAUCUCACCUAAAGCUAAAUAUUUGCGAGAGACCGAUAGCGAACAAGUACCGUGAGGGAAAGAUGAAAAGAACUUUGAAAAGAGAGUUAAACAGUAUGUGAAAUUGUUAAAAGGGAACCGUUUGGAGCCAGACUGGCUUAACUGUAAUCAAUCUAGGCUUUGGCCUGGAUGCACUUGCGGUUUAUGCCGGCCAACGACAGUUUUGUUUGAGGGAAAAAAUUACAUUGAAUGUGGCCCUUCGGGGUGUUAUAGCUUUGUAAAAAAUACCUUGGACUGGACUGAGGAACGCAGUGAAUGCCUUUAGGCAAGAUUGCUGGGUGCUUUCGCUAAUAAAUGCUAGAAUUUCUGCUUCGGGUGGUGCUAGUGUUUAAAGGAGGAACUCGCUUAGUAUAUUUUUUAUUCGCUUAGGUUGUUGGCUUAAUGACUCUAAAUGACCCGUCUUGAAACACGGACCAAGGAGUCCACCAUAAGUGCGAGUAUUUGGGUGACAAACCCAUAUGCGCAAGGAAACUGAUUGAUACGAAGGCUUUAAGCUGGCAGUAUCACCCGGCGUUGACGUUUUAUACUGAACUGACCGAGGUAAAGCACUUAUGAUGGGACCCGAAAGAUGGUGAACUAUGCCUGAAUAGGGUGAAGCCGGAGGAAACUCCGGUGGAGGCUCGUAGCGAUUCUGACGUGCAAAUCGAUCGUCAAUUUGGU